AAUCUUCAGUUAAAUUAACAUUAAGGACUUAUCAACUUAAAGCAAGCUCCUAUAUCCUGCUGAAAAGUUACUUAAAGUUUGUUUUAUCUUAUUUCAAGAGUACCAAGAUAUUUUCA